rnacentral:rRNA from 1 species
UGCAGUCGAGGGGUAACAGGGAGUGCUUGCACUUUGCUGACGACCGGCGCACGGGAGCGUAACGCGUAUACAAUCUACCUUUUGCUGAGGGAUAGCCCAGAGAAAUUUGGAUUAAGACCUCAUGGUAUUAUUAAUUGGCAUCGAUUGAUAAUUAAAGGUUACGGCAGAAGAUGAGUAUGCGUCCUAUUAGCUAGAUGGUGUGGUAACGGCACACCAUGGCCACGAUAGGUAGGGGCCCUGAGAGGGGGAUCCCCCACACUGGUACUGAGACACGGACCAGACUCCUACGGGAGGCAGCAGUGAGGAAUAUUGGUCAAUGGAGGCAACUCUGAACCAGCCAUGCCGCGUGCAGGAAGACUGCCCUAUGGGUUGUAAACUGCUUUUAUACGGGAAGAAACGCAGCCACGUGUGGUUGUUUGACGGUACCGUAAGAAUAAGGAUCGGCUAACUCCGUGCCAGCAGCCGCGGUAAUACGGAGGAUCCAAGCGUUAUCCGGAAUCAUUGGGUUUAAAGGGUCCGUAGGUGGAUUAAUAAGUCAGAGGUGAAAUCCUGCAGCUCAACUGUAGAACUGCCUUUGAAACUGUUAAUCUUGAGUCAUUAUGAAGUGGUUAGAAUGUGUAGUGUAGCGGUGAAAUGCAUAGAUAUUACACAGAAUACCGAUUGCGAAGGCAGAUCACUAAUAAUGUACUGACACUGAGGGACGAAAGCGUGGGGAGCGAACAGGAUUAGAUACCCUGGUAGUCCACGCCGUAAACGAUGGUCACUAGCUGUUCGGACUUCGGUCUGAGUGGCUAAGCGAAAGUGAUAAGUGACCCACCUGGGGAGUACGUUCGCAAGAAUGA